rnacentral:lncRNA from 7 species
GGAGGAUGACGGUGGCUGGAUCGUGGAUUCUGGGUUGUGCGGCUGUGAUGAGAACACGCAUACCCCUUUCGUGUAUCCUGAUCUGGUCUGUCGGAUUGGGAUCGGACGGGAUAGAGUGCAUCAUCGGCGUGGACAAUUGUUAACCAUGGAUCUCGGAACCGGUGGCCCGUAUUCAAUACUGGUUCAUCAGUGAGGUAAAUCUAAUCCGAGCACUCGGAUUGUAAUCCAACGGCUACAAGAUGACCCAUACCC